UUCCCUUCCUCCUAAGCACUUUCAUUUCUUUCGCUGUCCUCAUCACAAUCUUUCCCGUUUUGUGUUCGUGUUCGUCUACUUUGUGUCUUCCCUUGCUUGGGCUGAGCGUCGUGGUCGAGGCGACGAGGUCGAGGCGACGAGGUCGAGGCGACGAGGUCGAGGCGACGAGGUCGAUGCGGCAAGGUCGAGGCGGCGAGGUCGAAGUGGCGAGGACUAUGCUGAGGCGAUUUUUAUCACUUCCGUCUCCCUGAUACUAUGAAGGACUUCAAAAGUGUGUUGGACUUUGUUUAGAAGAUGGACAGUACUCGCCUGAUCAAAUAGAAUAGUUAAAUUCCUUGUACAAAACACUUGUACAACAAUACAAGUGGUCUUCUACUGUUAAGGUAUCUGAUCAAGGAAGUGUGCCAAACAAUGGAUGUAAUGAAGAAGAAGAAUCUUAAGACAUCUUUGUAUUUAAUUUUUAGUAUUGAACAUCUUUGUCUUUAAUUUUUUAUAGCAAAACUGUGCAGAAAAUUCAAAAUGACAUAACAUUGAAUUUGU